CACCCGGUGUUUUUCAACACCACCAAUCUCUUGGAUAGGAACUUCA
rfam:Gonium pectorale scaffold00588, whole genome shotgun sequence.